rnacentral:lncRNA from 1 species
AGUGAGUAGUGAAAUUCUCUGAAGGAGGUACAUCGAAUCUACUCCUUGGAGGCCCUAAGAAGCAAAGUCAAGGCUUCAUUCUUUGGCUUCUCUGGGAGUAACUUCCAAUGAAGGAGGAAGGAGAAAUGGCCUGAAGGGUGGUAGCAAAGGGCUCUCCACUUAGGACAGUGGCAGAGCAGGUGAAGGAGCAGAUCAGUAAGUCCAAAGGACUCCAGCUCAAGAUUAUGGAUUUAGAGUAACCAAGCCAGAGAAAUAUUGUUUGGGAGAAGGGAGUGUUUGCUGUGAUGCUGGAUUCCGGCAGGGAGGGACCCCACAGAGUUGAAUUGGGGUGCCGCAUGGGGAAUCCUCACCGUUUGACUAGUCACUUUCCAGUUAUGGAAACAAAGUCCUAGCAGGUAGGCUGCUGCUGUGGUUCUGCACAGCGUGGCCAACAGUGCAAGGAGAAUAGCUGUAGUGAGAACAAUUCCUGCAAAAGGCUCGAAGCCCAGAUGUUCACUGAGUCUAUCAGAAGAAGGCUGCCACAGGGGGCUGUGUGUGACCUGUCUCAACUUCACUGUGGUUUGGUUUGUUGCCAGGUACCGUGAAUACAUGGCUCCACUCCAUACUCUUAAUAGUGCCUGGAGGUAAGAGCAUUAGCCUAUUCAUAGAUGAGGAAACUGAGGGUCAGAGAGGAAAAGUAACUUCUAAGGUCUAUUGCUUAAAAAAGGUAAUGACAGUAUGUAAUAUAUAUUAUUAUAUGUGUAAUGAUAAUGAAUGCCAUAUGUGAUGAUGAUAAUACCUAUGUAAUAUAUUUAGAAAAUGAAAACAAACAUUUGAAAAUACUGUAGAUUACUGGGCAUUAAAGCAGGACCUUGCUGAACACUUGACAUGAAAUGGCUCAUCUACUGUGGCCACCUUAUAAAGUAGGCGUUUUGAUGUUUCCUGCUGUAGCCCCAGGUCUUGGCAUUGGGCCUGACAUGUGUAGAGUGAAUGAAUAGAGAUGGAGUUGAAGCAGCAGGAUGGCCAGCACAGCUACAGGCAGCUUGAUUUGGACAAGUGAUUUUUAAAGUCCAGGAAACAUUGACAUCCACUCUACCAAGUUAAAACAUGGAUACUGCCUGGUGUUGGUGAGGGUGAGGGACACACAUGCUUUUCUACCUUCCUGGUGAGAAUGUAAAUCAGUAUAUACUUUCUGGGAAACAAAAUGUAGAAAGGGUGUCACCUUUCAAGUAAGCACACAGCUAGCCAUUUGACAUGAGGCAAUAAUUGGGCAAUGGUACAGAUACAGAUUGUAUACAAUAGUAAAAAGUGCCCAUAAUUAGGGGUUGGUUUAACAGAACCAUGAUCCAUUCAUACCACAAUAGCAUCCAUGUAUAGCUAAUAGAGAAUGGUUGUCAUCUGUGUGCUGGUUAAUAACUCACCUGGUCACCACAACCCCCCAUGAGGUAGAAGCUAUUAGCAUUCCCAUUUUGUAGAUGAGGAAAUGGGUGCAGAGAGCUAAAGGGACUUGAGAUCACACAUCUGGGGAGACAGGAGAAAGAAUCUGGACCCUGGCUGCUGGUUCCCAGCCUGGGCUAUUCUGUUCAUGGUUCACUUGAUGAUGAAUGACAUCCACCUAAAUUCAUCAACCUGGGAUCUGGUGCAC